AGGACGAACGCUGGCGGCGUGCUUAACACAUGCAAGUCGAGCGAGGCCCGUCCUUCGGGACGGUGCCCUAGCGGCGAACGGGUGAGUAACACGUGGGCAACCUGCCCCUAGCACUGGGAUAACUCCGGGAAACCGGGGCUAAUACCGGAUAUGACCUUUGAGGGCAUCCUCUUUGGUGUAAAGGAUUCUGGCUAGGGAUGGGCCCGCGGCCUAUCAGCUUGUUGGUGGGGUAAUGGCCUACCAAGGCGACGACGGGUAGCCGGCCUGAGAGGGCGACCGGCCACACUGGGACUGAGACAUGGCCCAGACUCCUACGGGAGGCAGCAGUGGGGGAAUAUUGCACAAUGGGCGAAAGCCUGAUGCAGCGACGCCGCGUGAGGGAUGACGGCCUUCGGGUUGUAACCUCUUUCAGCAGGGACGAAGCGAAGUGACGGUACCUGCAGAAGAGCACCGGCCAACUACGCGCCAGCAGCCGC
rnacentral:rRNA from 1 species